AUUUAAUUCAACAUCGAGGUCACAAACUUAAUUAUUAAUAAGAACUCGCCAAUUAAAUUAUGCUGUUAACCCUAGAGUAAUUUCAUUAAAUAACCUUACUAUUUAAAAAUCUUUUUUUUCAACAAUUACCCCAAUUAAAAAUUCAAAAUUUUAAACUUCUAGGGUCUUCUCGUCCCAAAGAUUGAUAAAGACAUUCUUAUCUUUAACUUAAAUUCAAAUUUAUUAAUAAAAACUUUCCCUUUCAUAUUUCGACCCUUCAUUCCAGUCCCCUAUUAAAGAA
rnacentral:rRNA from 1 species